UCUAACGACAAAACGGUCAUUCUCUCUCUCUCUCUCCUCUUUCUCUUUCUCUUUCUCUUUCUUUCUCUCUCUUCGGUUUCAAUUCAGGUCCUUCCCGUGGCUCUAUAUAUGCAUGCGCUCUGCACACACACAUACACCAACAGAGAGCCUCAAAAUCUCUCUGCAUUUCAAUGGCGGGUCUCCAUGCUUCUCUGAGACCCACCCAUCCUUCUUCCUCCUCUUCUUUAUCUUCUUUUUCAUCUCAACACACAUUCGGUUCGCGUCUCCUUCUCUUGCUCACUGUUCUACCUCUAGCCCUCGCCGCCUUCGCCUUCACCCUCCAAUGGCGCGGAGGCUUGACGGACCCCACUACCCGCUGGUCCUCCGACCGGUCGGAGCUCCCCGGCAUGGUCGUUGCAAGGUCCUCGCCCGCCCGCGCAUCAUCGACCCCCUGCGUCAAUGUUCUGGGUCGGAGCUCCCAGCCCUCUUUUCCCAUCUAUGGAGGCUGGAAUUUCAGCUCUCUGGGUGAUCUAAGGCCUAAGGUAUGUAUAAUGACAAGCACCUCUGCUGGCUUGGAGCAAAUUCUACCAUGGAUCUUUUUUCACAAGGUUGUAGGGGUUUCAACAUUUCUUUUGUUUGUGGAGGGAAAAGCUGCAAAACCUAAUGCUUCUAAAGUCCUUAAAUCAAUUCCAGGCGUAAAAGUCAUUUACCGAACAAAAGAGUUGGAGGAACAACAAGCUAAGAGCCGGAUCUGGAACGAGACUUGGCUGGCAAGCUUUUUCUACAAACCAUGCAACUAUGAGUUGUUUGUGAAGCAGUCACUCAAUAUGGAAAUGGCUAUUGUCAUGGCAAGGGAUACUGGAAUGGAUUGGAUCAUCCAUCUUGACACCGAUGAGUUAAUACAUCCAGCUGGUAUUCGUGAAUACUCUUUACUACAGUUGUUUGCAGAUGUGCCGGAAAACAUUGAUCAAGUUGUAUUUCCAAAUUAUGAAAGUGGGGUUGAGCGAGAUGAUAUAAAGGACCCUUUCAGUGAGGUAUCAUUGUUCAAGAAGAAUUUUGACCAUCUUCAAAGAAAAACAUACUUUGGUAGUUACAAAGAAGCAACCCGUGGUAAUCCUAAUUACUUUUUGACUUAUGGAAAUGGGAAGUCAGCUGCACGGAUUCAAGAUCAUCUUCGUCCUAAUGGUGCACACAGAUGGCACAACUAUAUGAAGAACCCUAAAGAGAUCAAAUUGGAAGAGGCUGCAAUUUUGCAUUACACAUAUCCUAAAUUUUCUGAUUUGACUUCGAGACGUGACCGGUGUGGCUGCAAGCCUACAAAGGUGGACGUGAAACGAUGCUUCAUGUUGGAAUUUGACAGAGCUGCAUUCAUAAUUGCUUCGACUGCAACAGAGGAGGAAAUGCUUCAAUGGUACCGUGAGCACGUUGUGUGGACCGACAAAACUCUGAUGAUGAAACUUCUAAAGAAAGGCAUUUUGACUCGCAUUUAUGCUCCCAUGGCUAUUGUUCGUGGAUUGAGGGAAUCUGGUGUUUUCAGUUCCAUAAUUGCAUCGGCUCAGGCAACUCACUCAAAGGACAAGUUAUUAUCCCGUAAGUGGAGUAAUUCAUCCAAGACAAUUGAAUCUGAAGCCAUUUCCACAAGAAAGAUUGGCAAUAAAGGUGCGUCUCAGGCAACUGCAAGAGAAGUGUUGGAAAUUGGAGAAACUGAUGAAACUGAUUCUCAUGCCCCAGCUGUCCCUCCAUUAUCACCUCCUGGAAUGGACAAACUCUUAGUAGAUGUACAAUUUUUCCAUAUACAAUGACCUCUGCCUCACCCAUGGUCCCAUGUUGUAGGUGUCUUCAUUUAAAAAAUUAUCUUAGAAACAGAAAUUUUUUCUAAAAGAUAAUAGAGAGAGAGAGUAGAAGAGGAAGAAGAAGAAGAAGUAGAAAAAGAAGAAGAAGAAAAGUGAGAGAGGCAGGUCUGGCUAUUAUGUUGGGGCUCUUUGGGGUCAAGUUCUUGGGUUCUUCCCUAUCAUUACCCCAACACUAAUGUACAUUCCUAGUAUGGACCACAGAUUUUGUUUUUUGAAGUGAAAGGUGUAUAGUAAGAUUUGAUUUGAUUCA